AUUGAACGCUGGCGGCAUGCCUUACACAUGCAAGUCGAACGGCAGCGGGGGAGAAGCUUGCUUUUCCUGCCGGCGAGUGGCGAACGGGUGAGUAAUACAUCGGAACGUGCCCUGUAGUGGGGGAUAACUAGUCGAAAGAUUAGCUAAUACCGCAUACGACCUGAGGGUGAAAGUGGGGGACCGCAAGGCCUCAUGCUAUAGGAGCGGCCGAUGUCUGAUUAGCUAGUUGGUGGGGUAAAGGCCUACCAAGGCGACGAUCAGUAGCUGGUCUGAGACGACGAUCAGCCACACUGGGACUGAGACACGGCCCAGACUCCUACGGGAGGCAGCAGUGGGGAAUUUUGGACAAUGGGCGAAAGGCUGAUCCAGCAAUGCCGCGUGUGUGAAGAAGGCCUUCGGGUUGUAAAGCACUUUUGUCCGGAAAGAAAUGGCUCUGGUUAAUACCUGGGGUCGAUGACGGUACCGGAAGAAUAAGGACCGGCUAACUACGUGUCAGCCGCCGCAGUAA
rnacentral:rRNA from 1 species